CUGGUUGAUCAAGCUUGAACUGAUGUGUUUAUUUCAAAGAUUAAGCCAUGCAUGUAUAAGUAGAAACGAUUUCGAUCGUGAAACCGCGAACGGCUCAUUACAACAGCUGUAAUUUACUUGAUCUUGACGCAUCCUACAUGGAUAACUGUGGUAAUUCUAGAGCUAAUACAUGCACCAAAGCUCUGCCCCCUCGGGGAAGAGUGCAUUUAUUAGAACAAAACCAGGCGGCCUUCGGGCCGUUCCUCGUUGACUCAAAAUAACUCAAACUGAUCGCAUGGUCCAGUACCGGCGACGUGUCUUUUAAGUGUCUGCCUUAUCAACUUUCGAUGGUAGUGUAUCUGACUACCAUGGUUGUGACGGGUAACGGAGGAUAAUGGUACCACUCCGGAGAAGGGGCCUGUAAAAUUGCCACUACUUC
rnacentral:rRNA from 1 species